rnacentral:rRNA from 1 species
GAAUCUGCCUUUAGGAGGGGGAUAACAACUGGAAACGGUUGCUAAUACCCCAUAUGCUUUCGAGUGAAAUGGAUUUAUCCGCCUAAAGAGGAGCUCGCGGCUGAUUAGCUUGUUGGUAGGGUAAUGGCCUACCAAGGCGACGAUCAGUAUCUGGUUUGAGAGGACGAUCAGACACACUGGAACUGAGACACGGUCCAGACUCCUACGGAAGGCAGCAGUGGGGAAUUUUCCGCAAUGGGCGAAAGCCUGACGGAGCAAUACCGCGUGAGGGAAGACGGCCUAUGGGUUGUAAACCUCUUUUCUCAGGGAGGAACUCAAUGACGUGUACCUGAGGAAUAAGCAUCGGCUAACUCCGUGCCAGCAGCCGCGGUAAGACGGAGGAUGCAAGUGUUAUCCGGAAUCACUGGGCGUAAAGCGUCUGUAGGUGGUUUAAUAAGUCAACUGUUAAAUCUUGAGGCUCAACUUCAAAAUCGCAGUCGAAACUAUUAGACUAGAGUAUAGUAGGGGUAAAGGGAAUUUCCAGUGGAGCGGUGAAAUGCGUAGAGAUUGGAAAGAACACCGAUGGCGAAGGCACUUUACUGGGCUAUUACUAACACUCAGAGACGAAAGCUAGGGUAGCA